rnacentral:tRNA from 1 species
GGCGACGUGCCCGAGUGGUCUAAGGGAGCUGAUUGCAAAUCAGCGAUUCGUGGGUUCGAAUCCCACCGUCGCCUC